CAGUCGCCACGGUAAUACGUAGGUGGCAAGCGAUGUCCGGAAUUAUUGGACGUAAAGGGCUCGCAGGCGGUUUCUUAAGUCUGAUGUGAAAGCCCCCGGCUCAACCGGGGAGGGUCAUUGGAAACUGGGAAACUUGAGUGCAGAAGAGGAGAGUGGAAUUCCACGUGUAGCGGUGAAAUGCGUAGAGAUGUGGAGGAACACCAGUGGCGAAGGCGACUCUCUGGUCUGUAACUGACGCUGAGGAGCGAAAGCGUGGGGAGCGAACAGGAUUAGAUACCCCGGUAGUCCCUGUCUCUUAUAC
rnacentral:rRNA from 1 species